rfam:Blastococcus saxobsidens DD2 complete genome
GUCAGACCGUGACGCACUGAUCCGGGGCCUCCAUCUGGUCGCUUGGGCCCCGGGGAGCGAGUAGCGAAACCACCGCGGGAACCC